GGAAAACCCAGCCCGGCCCAGCCCGUCCCUUCUUCACGUCUUCUGCUCUUCUUCACUACUUUGCAGCCUUCACUUCGCGUACUUCUCGUCCAUUGCGCGCGGCUGAUUCUUGACCCCCACACGCGCCUCAGAUUUGCACACACAUGCUCUGGAAUCCUCACAGUGCGUCUCCGCUCGGUGAACUCUCUGUGGGUUGCUGCAUUGUCGUUUCCGGUGCAGGAUUUGGUGCGGAACUUGGGGUGGGUGAGACGGUGGUUGCGAGGUGGCUGGUUUUUUUUUCUCGUAUAUCUUCUCGGGUCAGCAACGUUGCGGCCGUGAGUGAGUGAGUGGCAAGCUAGCCGGUGCAUGAGUGGAGUGUGCUCCCGUAGCGCAGCGUGGUUGCUUUUUUAAUGGAGUCUUGUUGAGGAGGCCUGCUUCUGCGGAGUUUUCGUGUUAGUGCUCGCCCUGGUUGGUGUUUGAUUUCUGGGUGCCGCCGCAAUCUGUCUUGGGAAUUUCGUCUCGCGGGUAUGGUUCUACGAGGAGCCUUCACGCAGUAGUUUAGUGGGUUUUGUGGUUUUGUGAGAGUUUCAUCUUUGAAGUGGUUCGCGUGCAAUGUAGGUGCGGGCAUCGUUCUAUGAACUUGCUUUUUUUCUGAGAGUUAGCAUCGUCAGGUAGCUUGCGGUAGUAAUCUACUCAUCCUCUUUUUUCUUUCGUGUCACGUUCUAUUGUCCGUCACGCAGCUCUUCGACCUCUGAUUCAAUGAUCGUGGUGCACCAUCGUGGUUUGUGCUCAAGAUUUUCAUUAUCAGUUUUUUGUGAAUGAACAAAAAAUUUGAUCGGUGGAUAUAGAUUUUCUAGUCGGAGUUACCAGGGAAGGUGAUAUCUGUAGGAAGUAGUGCUCGGACACAUUGUUGGCGUUGUGAAAUAAAAAAAAAUAAAGGCUAUAGUCAUGGUGGUCGUAGGUCCUCGCCCAAUUGUUGCCUCCUCUGCUCUUCCUUCCAAAACCAAGCCCCUGCAGCAGCAAUCGCAGGAGAAACAUCAGCAUUCCGAUAGUUGUGUUGCUCACGAGUAUAGCGUUGACAUGCGGAAAUUUAGAACUUCGAAUGCAGUUGACCGCUGCUUAGCGACGGAGUUGAAGGAAGUGAAAGAGUGUGUUGGAGUGAAUACUAAUUCGACAUCGUUGAAAUGCCCUCCCAUGACCUACGCUUUCGUCUAUGGGACCUUGAAGAAGGGCUUUUCGAACUACUGGCUCAUGGAGGAUGUGUGUUCCAAAGGCCAUGCCCGGUUCUUGGGCUUUGCCAGAACGAAAGAAAUGUUUCCCAUGGUUUGUGGACCCUAUCAAGUGCCGUUCUUGAUCGACAUUCCGUCCUUGGGCCAUCAUGUCCGAGGGGAGCUUUACGAGGUUGAUCGAAUUGCAAUUGAGCGCCUCGACGAGCUAGAAGGAGUCUCCAAGGGGAACUAUGUCCGGCGUCCAAUUGUGCUGUCGGCUCUUCAACUGCAAUCUUCUGUUGAGCAGGAAUCCCUAUCUUCGGAGAUAAUUGCACAGGCGUAUUUUGCAGCCCCGUCGUACGCUUCAAAGAUUGCGAAGGCACCUCAUAUUGAGGCCUUCACUGAGAAGGAAUACGCCACCUACGUGCGUAGGAAGGAUAGACCCCAGAAUCGCACGUUUUUGCAGCACAUCGAGCACUGGAUCAAGACACAGGAGAUGGCCAGAAAAAAUUGAAGCUUCCUCUAAAAUUUUGAUGUCGUGGUCUGCAUCAGGUUAAUCUCUGAUGUUCAAUGGCUAGUGUUUGGAGGAGCUUUCUUCUUCCUCUUUUCUUGUUUUUCCCUACAAUUCUUACCAAUCGUUUGGAUAGAAUAGUGGUCAGACGUUUUGCAUUCUCCUUUCUCAAUUGAGUAUCCUUGCAACUAUUACAGUAGUCAUCGGUAUCAUCCUACUCAAAGAGGAUGAAGGGGAAGAGAGAUCACAUGAUGGGAACUCACAGGCGGGUUCACAGCAAACAUGUGAAGCUUCGAAGCAGGCAAGAGCAAGUGUAAAUUAAUAUACUGGUAGGCAAUUUGGAGAACGAUCCAUUGGUGCAGUAACUACCGGAAACCGUAAGAAAUGACAAAGAGCUUCUGAAAUCUCUGUAUAGUCAUGGCUUGACUGAGUCAAUGUUCCUGGUUUCAGAUUCUACAUUUGGUGUGUUCCGUGUGUAACUGCUUCAUGAGCUUGGUGGUUGUUUUCGUGCCUCACAACCUCAGAUUAUGCAUCAUUUACAGGAGCAGCAUGACACUCUGGUGAGUAGGAAGAAAUAGCUUUGAUAAAUUGUUGUACCUUUCAUUUGUAGCCAUCCAAUUUCAUAAGAAUUGUACACCAUGUCAUGCCCUACAAGGUCAUGUUCAAGGUCCACGGCUCUGCAGAACUGCCCCUGUAAUGCUCUAUCUUGUACCUUACAAGGGGUACAGUUCUACAGAAUUGGUCCUGAUGGAGCUGGACUAUUCAUUUAUCAAAAAAAGGUGGACUGUACCAUGUGAUGUUUCCCCA